rnacentral:rRNA from 2 species
GGCGGGGCGGCAUACUAUACUAGCAGUCGAGCGGACCUUUUAAAGCUUGCUUUUGAAAGGUCAGCGGCGGACGGGUGAGUAACACGUGGGCAACCUGCCUGUAAGACUGGGAUAACUUCGGGAAACCGGAGCUAAUACCGGAUAAUAUAAAGAACCUCCUGGUUCUUUAUUGAAAGAUGGUUUCGGCUAUCACUUACAGAUGGGCCCGCGGCGCAUUAGCUAGUUGGUGAGGUAACGGCUCACCAAGGCGACGAUGCGUAGCCGACCUGAGAGGGUGAUCGGCCACACUGGGACUGAGACACGGCCCAGACUCCUACGGGAGGCAGCAGUAGGGAAUCUUCCACAAUGGACGAAAGUCUGAUGGAGCAACGCCGCGUGAGCGAUGAAGGCCUUCGGGUCGUAAAGCUCUGUUGUUAGGGAAGAACAAGUGCGAGAGUAACUGCUCGCACCUUGACGGUACCUAACCAGAAAGCCACGGCUAACUACGUGCCAGCAGCCGCGGUAAUACGUAGGUGGCAAGCGUUGUCCGGAAUUAUUGGGCGUAAAGCGCGCGCAGGUGGUUCUUUAAGUCUGAUGUGAAAGCCCACGGCUCAACCGUGGAGGGUCAUUGGAAACUGGGGAACUUGAGUGCAGAAGAGGAAAGUGGAAUUCCAAGUGUAGCGGUGAAAUGCGUAGAGAUUUGGAGGAACACCAGUGGCGAAGGCGACUUUCUGGUCUGUAACUGACACUGAGGCGCGAAAGCGUGGGGAGCAAACAGGAUUAGAUACCCUGGUAGUCCACGCCGUAAACGAUGAGUGCUA